rnacentral:lncRNA from 1 species
GAAGCCUCCUCCUGCCCAGCUAUGGGUUUAUCCUCGCCACAGUCAGGUGGGGUGUAAAUAUCCCUUGUGUUUUCUUCUCUUGUAUUGUUUGGUUUAUUUUCUUCUUUUCAAAUUUGACAGCUCUCAAUCUAUGGUGUCCCGAUGGUCUUAGUCUAGCGAAUUGAGGGCAAGGUGGUGGCUCAACUUUUCUUUUGAGUUGCAUAUUGCAUCAUGUGUUUCUAGGUGAGGUAGUCGCUCCGAUCCGAAGGAUGAUCUCCUCGUUUCUUUUCAUUGGCCCUUCCCAGUUAUGGUGUAGAUCUAUUUGUUAUGAGCUUGUCGUGUUUUAUCUCUUUUCCUGCCUUCUGAUGGGUUAUAUGUUGCCUCUUUUGACUAUGAGUAUGGUAGUCGUCUUGAUCUGGAGAUAGAAUCCUCGUUUCUCU